AUCAGACUUGAAUCCUCAUCUGCUUGGUUUCUGUUUUUGUUCUUUCCCCUGGACCUGUCUUUCACCAGAGCAUUUGCACAUUUCCUAGAAGCCAGGCGAGUCUGUAUCAUUUCUCAUUUCUUCUGUAUCUUCUGAACGCCUUGAUGUUGACAAUGAAGAAAUUCAUGGAGUCUACAGAUCAGUACCUGAAACCAAGGUUAUUUCAAGACUAAUCUGCAAGGAGAAGCCCAGCCCCUGUGCCCCUUGGCGUCUGACCCCAGGCUGACUUGGCCACACGUCACCACUUGCCUCCUUAAUGCUGAUACACCUGAAUGUCCACAGGGCCGGUAAAUAUUUGCCUGUGCAGGAGGGAGGAAAUGGCAGUUUCUGCACAAGGUAGGUGAUGAGGCAGCUCAUCUUUCUGUGUCAAUAGUGUGAAACAAACAAUGGUGAUGUG